GGAGGGGCCAUAGCUCAGUGGCGGAACAUCUGCUUUGCAUGCAGAAGGUCCCUGUUUCAAUCCCUGGCUUCUCCA